rnacentral:lncRNA from 1 species
UCAUUACACAAAACAUAUUAAAAUAUUUAAGUUUGAUAACAAAAAUAUACAUUAAAACACAAACUUUGUUAUUUCAGCUUGAUCAUCUAGAGACUAAAACGCCUACUGAUGGAUUGCACUUUCAAAGCUAUCAAGAAGUAGCAUCAUGUUCAUGAUAUUAUAGACGCAAAUCAGAAAACUGGAGCAAAAUCCUCAUUGUUAAAUUACCUGAAUGACUUAUUUAUUAAUUAUGUCUGUGGACUCACUUUAUUACUUUAAAAAAUAUCUAUUUUGCUAUUAAAAUCUUUUGGCAUUAGUAUUUUCUCUUUAUUUAUCAUCUUAAGAAUUUCUGACUGUUUGAUCUUUUGGAUUUUAUUAUUUUAUGAAGUGAUAUUGUUCUCUCGAAAUUUCACCAACACCAUGAGCUUAAGCCUUCUGGGUAUAAGUAUGGACUUAUAAAUAAUGAUAAUGAUGCCGGAGUUUCUGAUUUGCGUUCAUAUACUGAACAACACACGAAAAGCUUUAAUUCUCGGUAUAAAAGUCAAUGGAGAAAAAAAAUCAGAAGAUUGAAUGACUGAUUUAUUGUGUUUACCGUCACUUUCAGCACUAUUGGCUUAAACAUUAAGGUCAGUUGUAAUUGGUUGCGGAAACCAGAUUGCCCUGAGACAACCACUGACUCAUGCCAGGAAAAUUGGAGAUCAAAGUCAAUCGAGACAGGAGAUGAACGUAACUUUCACAUGCAGUGCCAGCGUUCGAACUUAAACUUCAAAGAAUCAGGUGCAUGACAUAUAAUUUUCUAAAUGUUUAAGUUGUACAAAUAUAUUCUACAUCUAUAUAUGAGAUUUGCCUCAAGGAAUAUUCAAAAAUCAAUUUACAAUUGUUCUAAAAUUACCUUAGAAAGGGUACUGAAAGCAUAAAUACAAUUACACCAUAAUGUUGAUCCUCAAUUACAGUACAGCCUAGGUGGGUUUUGAUAUGCAUGCUUUACUUCUGUGAGGGGAUACAAGGUGAACAAAAUUUAUGUACGAAAUCUGAGAAAAAAUUGAAAAAGGAAAUGGGGAAUGUGUCAUGUAUAUGUCAUUUCUGAUCCUUCAUUCUUAGAACUGUAUAGACUAUACAAUUUGAUUAAAAGAUAAGCUCCUGAGUACAAUAUUCUUAAAGAUAUUUUAAGUUGAAUUUGAGAAGUAGAAAUAAAUCAUCUACGUAGGGCUGGUGGUAGUGACUUAAUCUAAGAAAGCUACAGUAUAAGUAAUAAACUUCCAAAUGUAAUUUAAAAUGUGAUGGUAUAUUUUUUAUAAAAUAUUACAAUAAGAAAAUGGUAAGUAAAACAUAUACCCACAUAAUAUAAAGCAAUACCCUCAUAUAUUGAUAACUUAUGAUACCCUGUAAAGUGUAGUAAUGUAUCCUGGAAAAUAUUUCAUACUAACAUUAUGAGCUAUCAUAAAAAAGCAUUUGGAAUAGUAUUAUCAUAAUAAUCAGUACAUUUUUGUAACUAAUAACAUUAAAAUUGAGAAGAAAAUAAUAUGCGAGACCUAUGUCAUGUAUGUCAAUGAGACUGGAUGUCAACAUAUGUUGUUUUUUUUAAAAUAAUAUAUGCUUAAUUCAACAGUCUUGAAAAAAACCCACUAUAAUAAUAUAUUUAACAGAAAAUUACAGACUUUCAAUCAAUGCCAUGAUGGUAUAUGUAUAACCAUACAAUAUUAAUAUACUACUAGUUUAUAUUUGUUUAGGGGUCAGCUGAAGGACGCCGCCGGGUGCGGGAAUUUCUCGCUACAUUGAAGACCUGUUGGUGACUUUCUGCUGUUGACACAUUCACCAUUUCCAUUCUCAAUUUUACUAAGCCUGUUUCAAAUAAUGCAAACAAAUUGAUUGGUUGAUUGAAAGUUAUCAUACUACGUUAAUAUAAAAUGCCUCUUUGAAUAAAUUCGAGUAAUGUGCAAUAAUGAUUCUUAUCAUCCUCUUAUUACAUGUACAUAUGUAUACUCUGUAUAAGUCGUCCUUUCUUAUGAAAAACGUGAGUUAUAGUACUAGUGUACAUGAUGAGUGCUCCUGGCUAAAAUUGACUUCAUAUAUUGUCUUAGCAACUAUUUUGUUUGUUCUGUCUUGUUGUAAAUAUUGUACAUAAUUGUCUUCUCUUCUCUAUACCUAUGUAUAUAGUUUAUUGAGAAUAAAGAUAUAUAGGACUUAUAACACAUUGCAUUGGUACUGAUUAAGUGAGAGCAUUUCGUACCCACCCAGUUCAAAGCCUGGCUGUGACAUAUAUUGCUACCAGAAAGUUAACCUUGCUCAAAACAAGAAUAAUUACAAUACAUACUAUUACAAUAAAACAUACGACUGGUAAAGAAGAUAAUGAUCAAUAAAGUGUCGAUUAAAAACAGGGAUAGUUGUUUUGAAGCAAGAAAGUUAAAACCGACACUGCUAUCAGCUUCUUAGCCUCUGCAUAUGUUUUAAUUCUCUCAAAUUAUAAGAUAUAAUUACUUCAAUGUUUAAAAUGAGAAUGCAUGAUGAUUUCAAUUCAACAGUAAAAAAAACUACAUAAAUGAUGUGAAAAAUACAAUUUUUAGCAUUUGUUUCAAAUAUGGCACUUCUUAGUAAUUAAAAGUGAAGGAGAUUGUUUGUAGAUUCAUAAUAUUACUAUAAAAUUUAUAAAACUAGAGGCUCUAAAGAGCCUGUGUCGCUCACCUUGGUCUAUGUGCAUAUUAAACAAAGGAGUCACAAAUGGAUUCAUGACAAAAUUGUAUUUUGGUGAUGGUGAUGUGUUUGAAGUUCUUACUUUACUGAACAUUCUUGCUUCUUACAAUUAUAUCUAUAAUGAACUUUGCCCAUUAGUAACAGAGAAAAAUAUUUGGUAAAAAUUUACAUAAAUUUACCAAAUUAAUGAAAAUUGUUAAAAAUUGACUAUAAAGGGCAAUAACGCCUUAAGGGGUCAACUGACCAUUUAGGUCAUGUGGACUUAUUUGUAGAUCUUACUUUGAUGAACAUUAUCGCU